CAGUAGAAACCUGGCUAUUCACUAUUAUGGACAUGCAUGUUUAAUGACUGCACUCUGUGGCAUCAUUGAUUUAUUACCAGCAUAUUCCAUUAUACUAAAUGCAAAAGUAAUGUGUUGUGCUAACACAAAAGUUUGGCUUCACAUAAGCAGCUGGAAAUCAGCAACCAUAAUAUGCAUAAAUCUAACUCCUACCAUGAGAUACAUGCUGUUUGACAGAUAUUGUUAACGUACCUUGUAUUCAUGAAUUGUGCGCCUAAUACUUGAGUUCUGCAUUUGCAACUAGAGGGAUGCUGGUU
ensembl:misc_RNA